ensembl:piRNA 21ur-5380 ncRNA
UAGUGCAUUACCUCAUAUUCC